CAAAAGGUAUUCUGUGGCUGAAGACAGUGUUGUGAGGGGUGGCCUAUGUGUUGCCCUCAGAAUAUGUUCUCCAAAAGCCUCCUGGCCAAGCUGACAAGUGUAUCCUUCCUGGAAAGUUCCCACCACAACACCUGCCCCCCCUCUCCCCAAGCUGUGCCCCUGAGUAUGUUCCAGGAUUCUACAGUCCUACACUAGAGCUGAAGAGUGGAAAACUGAACUCCUGCAAAGAACUAUUUCAAUGACCGACUGCAAUAAAGUUAGCCAGUUUCACAGAGAAACUGCCAUCAACGUGCUGUAGAGAAGAAAAGAUCUUUAAUCAGAUAAACUUACAUACUCAAGGUCAA